rnacentral:tRNA from 1 species
ACCGCGAUAGCUCAGUUGGUAAAGCAACUGCCCGGUGAGCGGACUGUCGCCGGUUCGACUCCGGCUCGCGGCG